GCCCUAGUGGCACAAUGGGUCAGUGCAUCUGGCUGCUAACCAGAAAGGUGGUGCUUCGAGUCCACCCAGGGACG